GAGUCAUUGGUGCAACGGUUAGCACAUUUGCUUGUCAAGCGAAAGAUAGGGAUUCAACUCCCCUAUGACUCG
rnacentral:tRNA from 1 species